GGCCGGGCCACCAGGAGGAUGGUGUUCAGCUGUCCCAGAGCUGCUCGCCGCUGGAGGUACCGCUUCCUGGAUGCCGUGAGGAGGCAGAAACAAAGAGUCCAAACUUAUACCUCCUGCCUGGCACCCAACCCUCAAACUACCCUGAAGGGUGUUCAGCUGCUGGUUCACCACCUAAAUAUGAUUCCCCAACUAGCCCUGGAGGCACCAUCUCCACCAUCUCCGCCAUCUCCACGGUUUCCAGCCCUGUGUGGCCAGUGUUUGGCUCAAGGUAGAUGGAGCAGAUGGCCAGACAGAGGACGGUGCAGACAGGCUGUGCGAGUGAACAGGAGACAUGAGAGUCGAGUAGAGAGCAGAAGAGAACAAUCAAAGAA